GAUUCGAAGAGGCUGCGCGUUCGGAGGCCGGCGCGGAGGGGGGGCGGGAAGUGGUAGGAGCAGUACGAGAAGGCCGAGCCGCUCAGCACGUGGGUGAACGGGACGCGCCUCCCCUGCCUGCUACAGCAGUGCCGAAAACAACCUGCAGGCUGGGCCCGUGAGACGUUGCGGGCAGGGGAGCCGCGAGGGGCCCGGCCUCUGUUGUGGCAGCGCAGCCCUGGCCGCUUCCCCACUGUGCCCCCAAAAGCCAAGCAAAAUGCCUUCGCUGCCAGGUCUGCACCUCCACCUGCCCCUGUGCCACGGUCUUUGGGGGUGCCGUAAGCGGGUGGGUUGCAGCGUUCAAGCUGACUAACUCUGGACUUGUGAAAAGCCUUUGACAAGGUCAUUGAAUCUCAGAAAAUGACAGUUGCGAGGGACCUCAGUGUCACAACCCAAAGUUGUGAUUUUUUGUUUGUGUGUGCUUCGGCACUGCUAAAUUAUUUUUCCCGCUAAAUUGCAGCUUCCUUGCACGGUGGAGUUUUCUGCUGCAGAAGAGAACCCCGGUGCAAUGGAGAGCAACAGAGGCCUGAACAGCCUCUAUCCUCUCCCCGUCGCCGAUAAAUUCUUAGACGUAUCCCUUCCUGCAUAUUAAAGAUACGAACCCGCGGAACUUCAACAACUCCGGGGCAAGAGAACCGAACCGAACCCACGGAGCUUCGACAACUCCGUGGGAGAGAAAUUACCGAACCCGCGGAGCUUUAACAACUCCGGGGCUAGAAUGAAUUUGUCGUAGUCCUCCAACAAGGAUUUAAGCGGAGCUGCACCUGGAAACUGUCCAGCCUACACCGCAACCAUCUUGGGUGAACUUGGUAGCUCAAGUGAAAUAGAAGAUUUACAAAAAAUGGAACGUGAAAAUGUUGAGCUGCCAAGUCCAGGGGAAAAAGAAGCAGGAUCCUUGCUUUCAAGAUCAUGGUCACCAGAUAUGUGGUUCAACAUAAGUAGCUGUUCAAGACAGUCAAGCUUUUUAAUCAAGCUUUGUGGAGAAAAAUGUCAAAAAAAGAUAAAGAAAAAGCAGAUGAGACAUUAGCUCGAGCUAUAUUUGCAAGUGGUACACCUCUUCCCAUAAGUGAAAAUCAGUACUGGAAGGAACAUUACAAACUUUAGGGGUUGGACUAGAUGAAGGGGUUGGACUAGAUGACCUCCUGAGGUCCCUUCCAACCCUAAUUUUGUAUGAUUUUUUGUAUGAAACUAAUUCGCCAUCACAUUCUCUCUUAGAGAGUAUGACAGAGUUCAAACAAUGGUUAUUCAGAGAAUUGGUCAAGCAGAAUCACUGACUCUGAUGUCACGUGGAUGGACUGAUAUACAAGGAAAUCCUUUAUUGAACAUUAUGUUAGCAACACCUGAACCAAUACUCCUGAAAGCAAUUGCUACCAAAUCUUCUAGUCACACAGGUGAAUACAUAACUAAAUUACUGAGUGAAGAGACUGGAAGUGCAGGUCCCUCCAGGGUACAAGCCCAUGUAACUGAUAAUGUGAAUAACAUGAAAGCUGCAUGGCAAAUAUUAAAGGCAAAGUAUCCUCAUUUAAUAGUACUUGGCUGUCUUGCUCAUGGGUUGAAUCUUCUGGCAAAGGACAUAGUAAGUGUAAAUACAACGAAGACAAUAUUGGCAAACUGCUAAGCGAUUGUGAAUGUAUUCAAUAAUCAUCAUGUUGCUAAUCAGACUUUGAAGAAAUUACAGAAAGAGAAGCACGGGAAGGAAAGUGCACUUUUAUUACCAGGAGAGACUAGAUGGGCUCAGCUACAAAAGUGUUUACAUAGUCUGCUGUGCACAAAGAACUGGUUGCAGCGUGCUUCAAUAGAUGACACAGUAUCCCAGAUUAUUCCCGUGAACAUUUGGAAGCAGAUUCUCAACAAAAUGUGUUUUGGGUUCGAGUUCAAGGAGCAUUCAAUUUGCUACUACCAGUCUCAGUGGCUAUCAAGAAACUUGAAGGAGAUACACCAAGCCUUUCAAAUAUUUCAGAGAUAUUCAGACAACUGAAUGAAAAUCUAAUCAGCUUUUGCCUUCUUCACCUCUAUACAAAAGAGUAAGUAGUAGUAAAACAAAUGUUUACUAAGAGAUCUGAGUUUUGCUCUCAUCCAGUUCAUCUGGCAGCAAACCUUUUGGAUCCUCAACACAGAGGACAGCAUUUAUCUAAAAAUGAAUUAUCUACUGCUCUCGAUACAAUUAUGGAAGUAGCAAAGAAUGCCCCCAACAUCAACGAAAUGGCAAUGUCUGUCAUCAUGGCUAAGUACCGUGCAAAAGAAAAACUUUGGAGCAAAAACAUCACUUGGCAGGCAGCAGAGAAUACAUCUCCUAUCACAUGGUGGAAGGGAUACUGUAACACUAGACUGCUGUCCACCAUUGCUCUAAGGAUCCUAACCAUUCCACCAACAGCAGCUUUUUGUGAACGGAACUGGAAGGCUUUUGCUCAAUCAAGACAAAAAAAGAGGAAUACACUAACAAACGAAUGCACUGCUAAGCUUGUUUCUAUUUCUCAAAAUCUUCUGCUUCUGCAGAAUCAGUCAGAAGCACAAUUAGUGAAGAAGACGUAGCGUGAGAAGUCAUCCUUGCCCAUAGACUCAUUGGUAAAACCACCCUUUAGAAAAAGAAAUGUGGUUCAAGUAGUUCUGAAACAGAUUUGCCUCAAUAAGUAGUGUAAGUAGUGCAAGUGAUUCUACAGAUAGUGAGAAUGAAACUGGAGGAGUCACAAUUACCUCAGUGGAAGAGAAUUAAACUCUGCUGAAGUAGAUGAAUGGACAACUACGGCAUAUCCUGCACAGUUCUUUGGGUGUGCUAAAAUUAGUGCGUCAACAGUUUUCAGUGCCUUUGUUUGUUUAAAUUUAAGAAAAAAAAUGAUGUAAGGGAAAUCCAUGCUAUUGUGUAUUGUCUUUACAUGUUUACAAGUAUUCCAAUAAAAAUAAUCUCUUUCCACAUAAA